rnacentral:tRNA from 1 species
GUUUCCGUGGUGUAGUGGUUAUCACGUCCGCUUAACACGCGGGAGGUCCCGGUUCGAUCUCGGGUAGAAACA